GAUGAACGCUGGCGGCGUGCCUAAUACAUGCAAGUCGAGCGAACAGAUAAGGAGCCUGCUCCUUUGACGUUAGCGGCGGACGGGUGAGUAACACGUGGGUAACCUACCUAUAAGACUGGGAUAACUUCGGGAAACCGGAGCUAAUACCGGAUAAUAUUUCGAACCGCAUGGUUCGAUAGUGAAAGAUGGUUUUGCUAUCACUUAUAGAUGGACCCGCGCCGUAUUAGCUAGUUGGUAAGGUAACGGCUUACCAAGGCGACGAUACGUAGCCGACCUGAGAGGGUGAUCGGCCACACUGGAACUGAGACGCGGUCCAGACUCCUACGGGAGGCAGCAGUAGGGAAUCUUCCGCAAUGGGCGAAAGCCUGACGGAGCAACGCCGCGUGAGUGAUGAAGGUCUUCGGAUCGUAAAACUCUGUUAUUAGGGAAGAACAUACGUGUAAGUAACUGUGCACGGCUUGACGGUACCUAAUCAGAAAGCCACGGCUAACUACGUG
rnacentral:rRNA from 1 species